rnacentral:rRNA from 1 species
GACGAACGCUGGCGGCGUGCUUAACACAUGCAAGUCGAACGGAAAGGCCCUGCUUUUGUGGGAUGCUCGAGUGGCGAACGGGUGAGUAACACGUGAGUAACCUGCCCUUGACUUUGGGAUAACUUCAGUAAACUGGGGCUAAUACCGGAUAGGAGCUCCUGCUGCAUGGUGGGUGUUUGAAAGUUUCGGCGGUUGGGGAUGGACUCGCGGCUUAUCAGCUUGUUGGUGGGGUAGUGGCUUACCAAGGCUUUGACGGGUAGCCGGCCUGAGAGGGUGACCGGCCACAUUGGGACUGAGAUACGGCCCAGACUCCUACGGGAGGCAGCAGUGGGGAAUAUUGCACAAUGGGCGGAAGCAUGAUGCAGCAACGCCGCGUGCGGGAUGACGGCCUUCGGGUUGUAAACCGCGUUCGCCUGUGACGAAGCGUGAGUGACGGUAAUGGGUAAAGAAGCACCGGCUAACUACGUG